rfam:Folsomia candida strain VT population Fcan01_Sc016, whole genome shotgun sequence.
GGGCGGUUAGCCUAGUGGUAAAGGUGUCCGUCCGGGAAACGGGAGACGCGGGGUUCGAUUCCUCGGACCACUCU